rnacentral:rRNA from 1 species
CUACGAAAGGAAGUUGACGGGGCCCGGCACAAGCGGUGGAGUAUGUGGUUUAAUUCGAUGCAACGCGAAGAACCUUACCUGGUCUUGACAUCCCGGAGACCCUUAGGAAACUAGGGGGUGCUUCCAUCUGGAAGAAUCUGGAGACAGGUGCUGCAUGGCUGUCGUCAGCUCGUGUCGUGAGAUGUUGGGUUAAGUCCCGCAACGAGCGCAACCCUUGCCUUUAGUUGCCAGCAGUUCGGCUGGGCACUCUAAAGGGACUGCCGGUGUUAAACCGGAGGAAGGUGGGGAUGACGUCAAGUCCUCAUGGCCUUUAUGACCAGGGCUACACACGUACUACAAUGGCCGAUACAAAGGGCAGCGACACUGCGAGGUGAAGCCAAUCCCGUAAAAUCGGUCUCAGUCCGGAUUGGAGUCUGCAACUCGACUCCAUGAAGUUGGAAUCGCUAGUAAUCGUGGAUCAGCAUGCCACGGUGAAUACGUUCCCGGGCCUU